UACGUAGGGUGCGAGCGUUAAUCGGAAUUACUGGGCGUAAAGCGUGCGCAGGCGGUUUUGCAAGCCGGAUGUGAAAUCCCCGGGCUUAACCUGGGAAUGGCAUUUGGGACUGCAAGGCUGGAGUGCGGCAGAGGAGACUGGAAUUCCUGGUGUAGCAGUGAAAUGCGUAGAUAUCAGGAGGAACACCGAUGGCGAAGGCAGAUCUCUGGGCCGUAACUGACGCUGAGGAGCGAAAGCAUGGGGAGCGAACAGG
rnacentral:rRNA from 1 species